AGCGAACGCUGGCGGCAGGCUUAACACAUGCAAGUCGAGCGGGGUGAUGGUGCUUGCACUAUCACUUAGCGGCGGACGGGUGAGUAAUGCUUAGGAAUCUGCCUAUUAGUGGGGGACAACAUCUCGAAAGGGAUGCUAAUACCGCAUACGUCCUACGGGAGAAAGCAGGGGAUCACUUGUGACCUUGCGCUAAUAGAUGAGCCUAAGUCGGAUUAGCUAGUUGGUGGGGUAAAGGCCUACCAAGGCGACGAUCUGUAGCGGGUCUGAGAGGAUGAUCCGCCACACUGGGACUGAGACACGGCCCAGACUCCUACGGGAGGCAGCAGUGGGGAAUAUUGGACAAUGGGGGGAACCCUGAUCCAGCCAUGCCGCGUGUGUGAAGAAGGCCUUAUGGUUGUAAAGCACUUUAAGCGAGGAGGAGGCUCUUUUGGUUAAUACCCAAGAUGAGUGGACGUUACUCGCAGAAUAAGCACCGGCUAACUCUGUGCCAGCCGCCGCCGUAA
rnacentral:rRNA from 1 species